rnacentral:snRNA from 1 species
AGAUAUGAGAGCUAUCUGGCUGUGACAUCUGUCACCCCACUGAUCUCCAGAGUUGAUUUGGCUGAUCUGGCUGGCUAGACGGCUGUCCCCUUCCUCCCUCACCCCGCCAUGUGUGUCCCUCCAAAAGCUGCAUGCUCGGUCGAAGAGGACAACCAUCCCCAUAGAGGAGGACCGGUCUUUGGUCGAGGUUAUAUGAGUAGCUGCACUCCCGCAAACUCAACAGCUCCAGAUACAUAGCAGUAGAUAGACGUGCUAUAACUCAAAGCUG